rnacentral:lncRNA from 1 species
ACAGUGUUUAAUCAUAUAACUAGGUUAAAAAAGGGGGGUCACUGGGCAUUACUAUAUCUAUAUAUCAUUUAAGGAAACUUUCCUAUAUGAGGAUAAAUUUUCCAAUAAUUCUCCGAGUUUCUGGAGUAUGAAAAUAUCUUCAGAGGACAUUAGCCAAAUAAAUUGUGAUUUAAUAUCUAAACCACUAAAAUUUUUAAACCGUUGUUUUAUUUAAUUUAAAAAUUUGAAACGAAUAUUUGAAAGUUUGUGGCACUGAAGAAGAAAAUGAAUUUCAUCCUCAACCUCAGUACCACAAAAUUUACAGAUACGUUCUGACACUGUCAGAUUUUUGUACCUUCCCCUCUCAAUCUCUAAAUCGUGA